GACGAACGCUGGCGGCGUGCUUAACACAUGCAAGUCGAACGGUGAAGCGCCUUCCUUUUUGGUGGGUGUGGAUGAGUGGCGAACGGGUGAGUAACACGUGAGUAACCUGCCCCCUUCUUCUGGAUAACCGCAUGAAAGUGUGGCUAAUACGGGAUAUUCUGGGUCUGUCGCAUGAUGGGUCUGGGAAAGAUAUUGUUUCGGUGGGGGAUGGGCUCGCGGCCUAUCAGCUUGUUGGUGGGGUGAUGGCCUACCAAGGCGGUGACGGGUAGCCGGCCUGAGAGGGUGGACGGUCACACUGGGACUGAGACACGGCCCAGACUCCUACGGGAGGCAGCAGUGGGGAAUAUUGCACAAUGGGCGCAAGCCUGAUGCAGCGACGCCGCGUGAGGGAUGGAGGCCUUCGGGUUGUGAACCUCUUUCGCCAGUGAAGCAGGCCUGCCUCGUUUGUGGGUGUGUUGACGGUAGCUGGAUAAGAAGCGCCGGCUAACUACGUG
rnacentral:rRNA from 1 species